rnacentral:rRNA from 1 species
CCUACGGGCGGCAGCAGUGGGGGAUAUUGCACAAUGGGGGUACCCCUGAUCCAGCGACGCCGCGUGGGUGAAGAAGCGCCUAGUCGCGUAAAGCCCUGUUAGCAGGGAAGAAAAUGACGGUACCUGAAGAAGAAGCGCCGGCUAAAUACGUGCCAGCAGCCGCGGUCAGACGGAGGGGGCAAGCGUUAUAAGGAUUUACUGGGGGGAAAGGGGGCGCAGACGGGGAUGCAAGCCAGGAGGGAAAGCCCGGGGGCCAACCCCGGGACUGCUCUUGGAACUGCGUGGCUUGAGUGCAGGAGGGGCAGGCGGAAUGCCUGGGGUAGCGGUGAAAUGCGUAGAUAUCAGGAGGAACACCGGUGGCGAAGGCGGCCUGCUGGACUGCAACUGACGUUGAGGCCCGAAAGCGUGGGGAGCAAACAGGAUUAGAUACCCCUGUAGUC